ensembl:lncRNA
CAUAUUUUAAACUAAUGACCUAAAUAUAUGAGUCACUGAAUACUAUUGAAAUCGGUGGACAGUGGGUUGUACUUCAGAAAUAUGCUGGGUGUGACGUGGAGGAAAUGGAAGUGGUAUAAACUUACCAAUAACCUUGACGUGUAGAAUUGUAAAACUCUGUAAAAGGAAAACAACAGUUAAAAUUUUAGACUUUUCCGAUCUGAGAAGUAAAAGUUAAAUAAUGUCUGAAUCUGAGACCUCUGGCUUGUUUUAUUCUCUUGGGAAGGAGCUAGUUAACCAGUGGUUCUUUCAUCGCUAUGUUUUUGGUCAGUUUUUGGAUUGCAUAAUCAGUUCAAAAACAAGUAGGUGUCUGCAGCUCUUCACUGCCAAGCGUGGAAAGAUGCAAGAUCAGCAACAGAUGGAAAUCUGUGGAAAAAAAAAAAAAAAAAGCAUUUGCAUGAUUGAAACAUCUUUUGCCAUUAAAACAUCUGGCAGAACUAAGCAUAAUAUGGGGGAGAUAUAACAGAUUUAAGCUAGACUCCCAUGCGUUCACCACGGUUAAGGGACUUUAGACGGAAGAACGAAGGUAUCCUUCACUGCUUUAUACCAGAACUCAUUAUCUACCAGGUCUUAUUGAGAAACAAAUGACAAAGAAAGAGACCGACCCUGAAAAGAAGCUGUGGAUGCACUCGUCUCUGGUCUUGACAGAACUGCUCCGAACGAUAUUCAAGAGAGCUUUCAGCGUCUAGUAGGCUUAAAGACAAAUCAAAAGGUAACCUUCAGGUUUCCAAAAAGCACCUGGAUGGAAACUGUGGUGUCUUCCAUUUAUGCAAAUGUAAAAAAAAAAAAAUCUGGUACACUUGAAAUGAAAACACUAUGGUUAAACUGUAGCAGAUGGGGAUUUCUUUCUGUGUAGGUGCUUUUUCACUUCUUUGGAAAUCAUUAUAAACCAUCAGAUCUCCAUUAGAUUUUGUACACUUAGUUUCUCGACUGUAUACUGGUUACCUGGCGCCAUCUAGCAAAUAUGACUCAAGCUGACUAAAGGUCAACCGUACAGGAAAACGGAAAAAAACACGUUUAUACCUGAUGGCAUCUGCUGGCAUCGGUCGGAGUUUGUUUUCCACUAUCUGUGUUUGACAGUGUUUUGAUAUGACAGUUAUUUUUCAGAAAAUACUAAAUCCAACAGCCAAAUUCUUUGUUGGGCUUAACAGACGAAUAGUAUCCAUCACUGACAUUUAUGCAUUUAGCAGACCCUUGCGACUUACAGUGCAUUCAGGCUAUGCAUUUUUUUACCAGUAUGUGUGUUCCCUGGAAAUUAAACCCAUGAGCUUUCGCGCUGCUAACACAAUUCUCUAGCACUGAGCCGCAGGGACAGUCAGUAGACUGACGUCGCAGCAUCAGGAGGUGCGAGCUGCAGAUCUGUUCAGCAUCAGUCUCACAGAUCUGCUCCGUCCGCUGCGUCUUCCAGUAGUGUGCUGUAGGGGCUCAGUUCUGAGCUUUUGCUAGGUUUGGGUUUACGGUGGUCCAGCGUGGGCUCUUCACAAUCUCUAGGAUGCUGUUCGUCUGAAGAUACAAAGACAUUUUAUCAGCAAAUAUUUUGUCCAACAUAUACACCGUCAGUCAGCUGAUAGAAAAUCAACCAGUAUGUCAAAGACAAACAGUUUAAGUGUUUUAAAUUGUUUUGUUGUUGUUUAUUUCCUACAUUAGCAUCUGUCUUGUUUAAUCAUACUACCAUGAUUUACAGAUGACACUUAGGCUACUAAAAUGUAUAUAGCAGAUGUUACAUUAUUAAUUCAAUAGUAGGUUAUUAUACAGUUGACGUAUAAACACCACUUCACUGUGCAUUGAACACGUCUCACAGUAUUAAUUUGUAUAUUCUGAUCUGAUUUUUGACGGUGUUCGCUGCUGUUUUUGGUGUCGGUAGUGAAGCUCCAGCACGCGGCGGCUGCGCUCCGCUUCUCUCCGUUAAAGGUGCUCGAGGCGGGACGCUUUCUUCGCACAGCGAGCUGUGACUUUUGUCCAUCUUAUCCGGACACGAGGGUGUCAGCUGACGCAGUUUGUCAGUUUGUUUCUCGGGUUUAUCUUGUAAAUAUUAAUUCUGCUUUCGCAGAGCGUCGAUCUGCGCGAACGCCGCCACGCCGUCGCCAUAGCAACGAGUUAAACCCCAGCACGCGGAUCAAACUAAACACACAACACGUAGCUAAAUAUUGGUUUGUUUAUUUAAGCACGUUGUGUAAAUUAUGAAAAAUAUAUAUAUAUAAAAGAACAAGAGACUGUAAACUUCCGCCACGAGAGUAAAACGGUCAAAAUUAAACAGUAACGUUACACAGAAAACUCAUAGCUCCGGACAUUUCCCACAAUGCAUCUGUGUGCAUCUGUCUAUUUAAAGGGACAAGCACCUCUUUCUAUCUAACUAAAAAAAAAUUAUUAGAGUGCCGUUCAGAAGUUUGGGGUCACUAAGAUUUUAAUGUUUUUUAAUGAAGUCUCUUAUGCUCAUCAAGACUUUAUUUAUUUGGUCAAAAAUACAGAAGAAAAAAACCCAGUAAUAUUGUGUAAUAUUAUUGCAAUUUCUAAUAUUGGUUUCCUAUUUUAAUAUACUUUAAAAUGUAAAUUAUUCCUGUGAUCAAAGCUGAAUUUUCAGCAUCAUUACUCCAGUCUUCAGUGUCACGUGAUCUUCAGAAAUCAUUCUAAUAUGCUGAUUUAUUAUCAGUGUUGAAACUGUUGUGCUGCUUAAUAUUUAUUUGGAAACUGUGAUACUUUUUGAAUUCUUUGAUUAACAAAAAGUUAAAAAGAACCACAUCAAAACAGAAAUCUUUUCUAACAAUACAAGUCUUUACUAUCACUUUUUAUCCAUUCAACACAUCCGUGUAACACUUCACAUUUCAAUUUUCAGACCACAUGGAGCAAAUGCAGAAAUGAAAAAAUGAAACCAAACAUUCAUUUCUUCUUUUUUUUUUCAACUACUUCAUAAAUUGGCAUUUUAUUUCCUUUUUUUUUUUAAUUUUCCUUUUGCGAAACUGUGACUUCAGAAAAGAUCAUUUGAAUAAAUUAAAUCUAAACAAUUUUCUAUUUUUCCA